CUUUGAGAAACCUUGUUUCUACUGUUAUAUCUACACAACACACAGCAGAUUAAUUCCAAUAUAACCUUUAUUUGGAACACCUUAUAUUCAGCAAAACAGGUAUUGAUGACUGUGAAUUUUAAUUAAAAAGUAAAACAUAAUAGCAGUCAUCCAGUUUCAAAACAUUUAUUUGUGAUAAAAUAACUACAAAUAGAUUUUCCACACAGGGCCUAUGUACGACUCAUUUGGAUUAGUUACAUAUAUAAACACAAUUUAUAUACUGCUUAUUUAACCCUAAUAAUUUACCUUUGUUUUAUUAAAACAGAAUGCAAUUUACAUCGUGAGUAAGACGACCAUUUUCCCUUCCUGAAACCAGCUUUUUUUAAUCUAGUCACUUGAUAUAUGCCUAUUGGCAUACAUUUUAGGUUUUUUAAUUCAAAUUUAAAACUUACUUGCUUUAAAUAACACAGAUAAUAAGAAAAAAUACACACUAUACUUGGAUUUGGAUUGUGGUUUGACACAGAUGAAUGUGUAACUUCUAUUAAUAAUAAAAGGAAUACACAUACAUUUACAUAUUGCUAUAUUAAACUGAAAGUACAGUUAAAAUAAAAAAUGAUUAGAGUUAUCUCCCCUUGCAUAUUUUAAGGAAGUAUAUGGAAACAAAAUAAAGUAACUACAUCUAUAUCAAGUAAGUUAAUUAUCUCCCUUUAAAUAUUUCAGAUCACGAAUAUCUUCCUUUAUGCACAUUCUAUGGUCAUGUACUUCAACUGUGUAAAGUUUCAUUAAUAUUGCUACAGUCAUUUAGGAGGAGUUGUGCUUACAAGACCUAAUGCCACAUAUUGUGAUAUUUAAACUUAAUAAUUUCAAUUAUCUCCCUUGAAAAAAACAUCUGAUAAGAAAUAUCCUCCUUCCUCAUGUCUAAAGAUGUAUACAACAUCUGUGUAAAGCUUCAUCAACAUUGAUUAAUCCAUUUAGAAGAAGGUGUGCUUACAAGACUUGUUGCCAUUUAUUGCUAUAUUUAACAAAGUCAAUUCAAUUAUCUCCCUUGAAAUAAUUUCGACGAGAAAUAUUUUCCUUCAUGAACAUCCUCAGGUUGUGUACUACAAUCGUAUCAAGUUUUAUCAAUAUUGGUCCAUCCAUUAGGAAGAUGUUGUGCAUGUAUACGAGACUUAUCAGAUGUAUACACCCCCCCCCCCCCAAAAAAAAAAAAAACGAAUUCUGAACAAGAGUGGACACACUGAAAUGUCUCGCCUGUUCUAGUGUUCAUAAUAUAAUUUAUGUUGAAAGUAUAAAAAAGCAUUGUAUACCACAAGCAUUAAUUAACUGUACUUGAGAUGAAGGCGACACAAAAAUCACAUCAUGAGGAAGAUGUGUACUAAGUUUCAAAUUGAUGUGCCUCUAACUUCAUCAAAAACCACCUUGACCAAAAACUUAAACUUGAUGUGGGAUGGAAAAUCAAACAAAUACACUAUUGUA
rnacentral:lncRNA from 1 species